AACGAACGCUGGCGGCAGGCUUAACACAUGCAAGUCGAACGCCCCGCAAGGGGGGUGGCAGACGGGGGGGUAAGGCGGGGGAAUCUACCCAGUUCUGGGGAAAAACAGUUGGAAACGAUUGUUAUUACCCCUUCCGCCCUACGGGGGAAAGAUUUACCGGAAUUGGUGGAGCCCGCGUUGGAUUAGCUAGUUGGUGGGGUAAUGGCCUACCAAGGCGACGAUCCAUAGCUGGUCUGAGAGGAUGAUCAGCCACACUGGGACUGAGACACGGCCCAGACUCCUACGGGAGGCAGCAGUGGGGAAUAUUGGACAAUGGGCGCAAGCCUGAUCCAGCCAUGCCGCGUGAGUGAUGAAGGCCCUAGGGUUGUAAAGCUCUUUCACCGGUGAAGAUAAUGACGGUAACCGGAGAAGAAGCCCCGGCUAACUUCGUGCCAGCAGCCGCGGUAAGAC
rnacentral:rRNA from 1 species